CACCAUAUCCGUUUUAUGCAUGUAUCUUACUAACCUCAAACAAAUGGCUUUCAAUUUGAUUCCGUGGAAUUCAGGAUUAAAUGAUUGUGCAGCGAUCUGUGCAAGACGUUUGCAAAUAAAAAUGUUCUGUUCUGCUUUAAUAUAAAUCGAUCUUAGUCAUAAAUUGCUCACGCAAAAAGGAAUCUGCAUUUGUGGAUCAGGUCAUGAGCGUGCAUUAUUGACGUCUUGUUCAAGUCGGUAUUGUUCGGUUCAUUUGGAUUUUGAGACUUCAUUUGCAUAGUUUUAAGCAUUUCACGACCCCCCACACGUGUCUUACAGUAAUGUGCAGCAUUAGUCUAAAAUCAUCCCAUACUACAACAGUAAAAGAACCAAAACCCAAAAUGACAAUGACCAAGACAAUAAACAAUAAGGAAUAAUAGGAAAAAAUUAUCAACGAUUUUACAUUUUCCCCAUGACAGUACGUUUUGCUAUAGAGAUAAUAACAGUGCUGUACUUAAUGCAGUUUUGCUAUUAGUAAAAAGGCAGCUGGGGAGAAGAGACGAACAGACUCAUUGCACGCUCUCUCUCUCUCUCUCUCUCUCUCUCUCUCUCUCUCUCUCUCUCUCUCUAUCUCUCUCUCUCAUAUCUGCAUUAUCAUUGGCUCAAGCUUCGUUACUAACUCUAAAAUUGUCUUGAGGUGUUGUAACGGCACGUGAAGCAUUUUUAAUUCGAUAAGUCUUUAUUAUUUAUUUUAAUAUUUAUUUAGUCUUCAUUAACUCUACCUGCCCCCUGCUCUAAAAUAUAUGCUUUUGGAAAGCUAGACUGAAUCAAUAAAGCAUUAUAGCCACUACAUCAACUGCUGUUCAGUGUUGAUUUGGCGAUAUGAUAUAUUUAAAUGACUGUUGUGUACAUUGAUCACUCGAGUGCCUGUGAAGCCCACAUAGCCUAUUGACACUGAUCUCUCAUUGUAAUGAUCUGCAGUUUUUCAGAGAAAUCAAACAUUAGAUGAUGAGUUACCUUCACACUCAUAAUACUCUGUUUGCAGGUGAACACACUCAGUGAACAAUAAACUGAGCGCAUAUGAUUCACAAGACACAAUUUAUGAUGUUUAGAUUUUUUUGUUUUCUUUGUAGACAGAAAUGACAAAAAUUAAAAUCAUUUGUAUUUAGUUGUUUCUCAAGGUAAUAAUACUAACAAAACGAUUUUUAUAGUAGUAGUAAUUGAAUAGUUACAAAAUUAGACUUUUAUAUACUGUAUAUAUUUUCAUUAUCGUUAUUUAAAUAUAUCUCUAUAGUUUGUUUAAUUGCAGAAAUUGUGGUCAUGUUUAAAUGCAUGUAUUAAUGAAUAAUCUAAAUAAAACAUGACUCAUAAUGAGCAUAAAGUUAUGCAACCAGCACAAUCUGCUUAAAAAGCGAUCUCACUAACCACUUACACUUAAUAACAUCAGCUGUUUGUAUAGCUUUUUUUCACUCUUUGAGAACAAAAGAGGAGGUUGAACAUGGAUCUCAUUCGCACACGCAGUAUACAGUAUAAAUAUGACCAAAUGACCGUCAUCUCUUCAGUACCCAUCUCCUGAUUGUUUGCCAUGUAUCUAGUGUGGCUAAUAUUUUAUCUUGCCUCAGUCGGGUCGACGUCUGCUGCGGGAAACUGCAGUUACAAGGCACUUCUGGACCAUCUCGGCUUGGGCAGUGAUGACAUUCAGAUGACGUCCCUGCGGCCCGUGUUUAAAUGGGAAACCCCUACUUUGCUUUUUCUAGACCUCUUUGUGACUUCCAUCACGGAUGUGAAUGAAAAAGCCCAGAGCCUCUCAAUACAAGUCACUAUUUUGUAUGUAAGUGUUUUCAAAACCUUUUCCCACACAACUUUACUCAAG